rnacentral:rRNA from 1 species
CCUACGGGAGGCAGCAGUGAGGAAUAUUGGUAAAUGGACGAGAGUCUGAACCAGCCAAGUAGCGUGAAGGAUAACUGCCCUAUGGGUUGUAAACUUCUUUUAUAUGGGAAUAAAAUGUUCCACGUGUGGGAUUUUGUAUGUACCAUAUGAAUAAGGAUCGGCUAACUCCGUGCCAGCAGCCGCGGUAAUACGGAGGAUCCGAGCGUUAUCCGGAUUUAUUGGGUUUAAAGGGAGCGUAGGUGGAUUGUUAAGUCAGUUGUGAAAGUUUGCGGCUCAACCGUAAAAUUGCAGUUGAAACUGGCAGUCUUGAGUACAGUAGAGGUGGGCGGAAUUCGUGGUGUAGCGGUGAAAUGCUUAGAUAUCACGAAGAACUCCGAUUGCGAAGGCAGUUCACUGGACUGCAACUGACACUGAGGCUCGAAAGUGUGGGUAUCAAACAGGAUUAGAUACCCUAGUAGUC